rfam:Chelonia mydas contig258333, whole genome shotgun sequence.
CCAAAGGCCCUUUUAAGGGCCACUCAUUCCUGCAUAGAAAGAGUUG